rnacentral:rRNA from 1 species
UACAGAGGUCUCAAGCGUUUGUUCGGAUUCAUUGGGCGUAAAGGGUGCGUAGGCGGCGCGGUAAGUCGGGCGUGAAAUCUCGGAGCUUAACUCCGAAACUGCAUUCGAUACUGCCGUGCUUGAGGACUGGAGAGGAGACUGGAAUUUACGGUGUAGCGGUGAAAUGCGUAGAUAUCGUAAGGAAGACCAGUGGCGAAGGCGGGUCUCUGGACAGUUCCUGACGCUGAGGCACGAAGGUCAGGGGAGCAAACGGG